CCUACGGGUGGCUGCAGUCGAGAAUCAUUCGCAAUGGGCGAAAGCCUGACGAUGCGACGCCGUGUGAGCGAAGAAGGCCUUAGGGUCGUAAAGCUCUUUCGCUUGGGAACGCGUACCAGGUAAAGAAGCACCGGCUAACUCCGUGCCAGCAGCUGCGGUAAUACGGAGGGUGCGAGCAUUAAUCGGAUUUAUUGGGCGUAAAGGGCGCGUAGGCUGGGAUAUAAGUCAGAUGUGAAAUCCCGAGGCUCAACCUCGGAACUGCAUUUGAAACUGUAUCUCUAGAGGAUAGGAGGAGAAAACGGAAUUCCACAAGUAGCGGUGAAAUGCGUAGAUAUGUGGAAGAACACCGGUGGCGAAGGCGGUUUUCUAUCUUACCCUGACGCUGAUGCGCGAAAGCAAGGGGAUCAAACAGGAUUAGAUACCCUUGUAGUC
rnacentral:rRNA from 1 species